rnacentral:rRNA from 1 species
CAAAGGUUAAUUCCGGUGGCGGAUGGGCAUGCGUCGCAUUAGUUAGUUGGCGGUGUAACGGACCACCAAGACGACGAUGCGUAGGGGUUCUGAGAGGAAGGUCCCCCACACUGGUACUGAGACACGGACCAGACUCCUACGGGAGGCAGCAGUGAGGAAUAUUGGUCAAUGGGCGGGAGCCUGAACCAGCCAAGUCGCGUGAGGGAUGACGGCCCUAUGGGUUGUAAACCUCUUUUGCCGGGGAGCAAAGUGCCGCACGUGUGCGGUUUGGAGAGUACCCGGAGAAAAAGCAUCGGCCAACUCCGUGCCAGCAGCCGCGGUAAUACGGAGGAUGCGAGCGUUAUCCGGAUUUAUUGGGUUUAAAGGGUGCGUAGGCGGACGCUUAAGUCAGCGGUAAAAUUGCGGGGCUCAACCUCGUCGAGCCGUUGAAACUGGGUGCCUUGAGUGGGCGAGAAGUACGCGGAAUGCGUGGUGUAGCGGUGAAAUGCAUAGAUAUCACGCAGAACUCCGAUUGCGAAGGCAGCGUACCGGCGCCCAACUGACGCUGAAGCACGAAGGCGUGGGUAUCGAACAGGAUUAGAUACCCUGGUAGUCCACGCAGUAAACGAUGAAUGCUAGUUGUCCGGGGCGAUUGAGUUCUGG